rnacentral:rRNA from 1 species
AUUGAACGCUGGCGGCAUGCUUUACACAUGCAAGUCGAACGGUAACAGGCCGCAAUUUCCUGACGAGUGUCAGAGGGGGGAGGAAGACUACGAAACGGGCCCAGUCGUUGUGGGUAACUACUCGAAUGGGGAACUAAUACCUCAUACGGGCUAUUAAUUAAAACGGGGGAGCUUAAAACCUCAAGCGGUUGUAGCGGUCGCUGUCAGAUUAGGUAGUUGGGGAUGUAACGGCUGACCAAGCCAACGAUCAGUAGCCGGACUGAGAGGACGACCAGCCACACUGGAACUGAGACACGGCCCAGACUCCUACGGGAGGCAGCAGUGGGGAAUUUUGCACAAUGGGCGCAAGCCUGAUCCAGCAAUGCCGCGUGCAGGAAGAAGGCCUUCGGAUUGUAAACUGCUUUUGUUCGGAACGAACAGAUUCUGGUUAAUCCCCGGAGAUAAUGACGGUACCGUAAGAAUAAGCACCGGCUAACUACGUG